UGAGGACGUCAAAGGUAACAUACU
rnacentral:siRNA from 1 species